CCAGUACGGAUACAGAUAUACAAAAGAUAUACAACUGAUAUACGAAAAUAACAGAGACAAAAUACUGAACAAAGCCUCAAGUACAAAUACAAACGAAAAUAUAAUAUCCAAAGAUCAAUGGAAUAUAUCUGAAUCAACGAAUUGACGAAACCAAUAAAAGAAUAAAGAAAUAACGAACUGAAGUAACUAACUCAAUGACUUGAACUGAACAGAAACCAACAAAACUAAUCCAAUAAAAUAAUAGGCUGAAACAAAUGGCUAAAGUUAUUUCAUACCGAAUGAGCUCAGAAAUAUACCUUGCCACAC
rnacentral:lncRNA from 1 species